rnacentral:ncRNA from 1 species
AAUAGAGGUGCGUCGGCACAUCAGUAUCCCUCGGGAGACACCGGGUCUUUGACCGUGGGAAAAAGGGUGCGACGCCGAAGAUGCCCGUCUUCCGGCCGGCAGGACAUCUGGCUUUGCAGUGAAGAACUGUAAGGUUGUCAUCAUAUUUAUGAUGGAGCGCUAUU